UACGGGGGGUGCAAGCGUUGUUCGGAAUUACUGGGCGUAAAGGGCUCGUAGGCGGCCAACUAAGUCGGAUGUGAAAUCCCCAGGCUCAACUUGGGAACUGCAUCCGAUACUGGAUGGCUUGAAUUCGGGAGAGGGAUGCAGAAUUCCAGGUGUAGCGGUGAAAUGCGUAGAUAUCUGGAGGAAUACCGGUGGCGAAGGCGGCAUCCUGGACCAAUAUUGACGCUGAGGAGCGAAAGCCAGGGGAGCAAACGGG
rnacentral:rRNA from 1 species